rnacentral:rRNA from 1 species
GAUGAACGCUGGCGGCGUGCCUAAUACAUGCAAGUCGAGCGAACAGACGAGGAGCUUGCUCCUCUGACGUUAGCGGCGGACGGGUGAGUAACACGUGGAUAACCUACCUAUAAGACUGGGAUAACUUCGGGAAACCGGAGCUAAUACCGGAUAAUAUAUUGAGCCGCAUGGUUCAAUAGUGAAAGACGGUUUUGCUGUCACUUAUAGAUGGAUCCGCGCCGCAUUAGCUAGUUGGUAAGGUAACGGCUUACCAAGGCAACGAUGCGUAGCCGACCUGAGAGGGUGGUCGGCCGCACUGGAACUGAGACACGGUCCAGACUCCUACGGGAGGCAGCAGUAGGGAAUCUUCCGCAAUGGGCGAAAGCUUGACGGAGCAACGCCGCGUGAGUGAUGAAGGUCUUCGGAUCGUAAAACUCUGUUAUUAGGGAAGAACAAAUGUGUAAGUAACUAUGCACGUCUUGACGGUACCUAAUCAGAAAGCCACGGCUAACUACGUG